rnacentral:rRNA from 1 species
UACGUAGGAUGCAAGCGUUGUCCGGAAUUAUUGGGCGUAAAGAGCGCGCAGGCGGUAUGACAAGUCAGAUGUGAAAGAGGCCGGCUUAACCGGCAAGGGUCAUUUGAAACUGUCAGACUAGAGUGCAGCAGAGGAUAGUGGAAUUCCCGGUGUAGUGGUGAAAUGCGUAGAUAUCGGGAGGAACACCAGUGGCGAAGGCGGCUAUCUGGGCUGCAACUGACGCUGAGGCGCGAAGGCUAGGGUAGCAAACAGG